rnacentral:snoRNA from 1 species
CUUAGAAUCCAAUUAUGUUUUUAUGCGAAAUGUCUGAACCUGUCUGAAACAUCUCAGUGAUGCAACCUCUGUGUGGUGCUGAGGAUUCUCUGCCA